rnacentral:rRNA from 1 species
UACGUGGAGGGGCUAGCGUUGUCCGGAAUCAUUGGGCGUAAAGCGCGUGUAGGCGGCCCGGUAAGUCCGCUGUGAAAGUCGGGGGCUCAACCCUCGAAAGCCGGUGGAUACUGUCGGGCUCGAGUGCGGAAGAGGCGAGUGGAAUUCCUGGUGUAGCGGUGAAAUGCGCAGAUAUCAGGAGGAACACCGGAUUGCGAAGGCAGCAUCGCUGGGACGUUACUGACGCUGAGACGCGAAAGCGUGGGGAGCAAACAGG